rnacentral:tRNA from 1 species
AAAGAGUAUAGUUUAAUGGUAAAAUAAGAAGCUUCAACCUUCCGGUUCUCAGUUCGAAUCUGAGUGCUCUUG